rnacentral:rRNA from 1 species
UGUUUCGGCUAGGGGGUCAUCCCGACUUACCAACCCGAUGCAAACUACGAAUACCGAAGAAUGUUAUCACGGGAGACACACGGCGGGUGCUAACGUCCGUCGUGAAGAGGGAAACAACCCAGACCGCCAGCUAAGGUCCCAAAGUCAUGGUUAAGUGGGAAACGAUGUGGGAAGGCCCAGACAGCCAGGAUGUUGGCUUAGAAGCAGCCAUCAUUUAAAGAAAGCGUAAUAGCUCACUGGUCGAGUCGGCCUGCGCGGAAGAUGUAACGGGGCUAAACCAUGCACCGAAGCUGCGGCAGCGACACUAUGUGUUGUUGGGUAGGGGAGCGUUCUGUAAGCCGUUGAAGGUGGCCUGUGAGGGUUGCUGGAGGUAUCAGAAGUGCGAAUGCUGACAUAAGUAACGAUAAUGCGGGUGAAAAACCCGCACGCCGGAAGACCAAGGGUUCCUGUCCAACGUUAAUCGGGGCAGGGUGAGUCGACCCCUAAGGCGAGGCCGAAAGGCGUAGUCGAUGGGAAACAGGUUAAUAUUCCUGUACUUGGUGUUACUGCGAAGGGGGGACGGAGAAGGCUAUGUUGGCCGGGCGACGGUUGUCCCGGUUUAAGCAUGUAGGCG